CCACCGUGAUUCACACAUCCGAAUGCGCAAUUUCUCAUACAAGGCACGGUAACGCGCCAGGCCAGGCUGCUGCGUGCGCGUGCGCGAUGGCCUACCGAGGAGCGCUGCGGGAUGUCGGUAAGUUUGAAUCCACCAAAAAGAAACCCAACCAGAGCAAGAGCAAUCAUUGCAAGCAAUGAUAAAUAUUUUAGUGAACCAAUCCGCGGACUAGCUAGCAGAUUUGACCUCACAGCAGCGGUCACCUUGGGUAGUAUCUAUCAAUACUCAAAUCCGGCCAUGAAGGCUAAUGUGUUUGGUUUGGUUGCGAAAGAAAAUCAUAACAAUCCCAUGUGAAGUGAAUAAGUGAAUAAGUCCAAAAAGGGAUGUGCUAUGUGGUUUAAAUGUUUAUUGAAACACAAUGAAGUACACAUUAACUGGUUCAGUGAACAAAAAUUACAUUAUUAUGGGGUUUCUUCAACAAGAUAGAACCCCCUAUUACAAUUAUGAAGUAAAUAGACUAAGGAUAUGUUUCCAAGCCAUCGUUCUGCUUAGUGUGCCAUUCAAUAAACUUUGUGGACUUCCACUUUCGCAUCUGA